AUUGAACGCUGGCGGCAUGCUUUACACAUGCAAGUCGAACGGUAACAGGUUAAGCUGACGAGUGGCGAACGGGUGAGUAAUGCAUCGGAACGUGCCCGGUCGUGGGGGAUAACGCAGCGAAAGCUGCGCUAAUACCGCAUACGAUCUGAGGAUGAAAGCGGGGGACCGUAAGGCCUCGCGCGAUCGGAGCGGCCGAUGUCAGAUUAGGUAGUGGGUGGGGUAAAGGCUCACCAAGCCAACGAUCUGUAGCUGGUCUGAGAGGACGACCAGCCACACUGGGACUGAGACACGGCCCAGACUCCUACGGGAGGCAGCAGUGGGGAAUUUUGGACAAUGGGCGAAAGCCUGAUCCAGCAGUGCCGCGUGCAGGAAGAAGGCCUUCGGGUUGUAAACUGCUUUUGUACGGAGCGAAAAGGUCUCCUCUAAUACAGGGGGCUCAUGACGGUACCGUAAGAAUAAGCACCGGCUAACUACGUGCCAGCCGCCGCGGUAA
rnacentral:rRNA from 1 species